ensembl:snRNA U5 U5 spliceosomal RNA
UUGUAGUCUCUUCAGAUGGUAUAAAUCUUUUGCCUUUUUACUAAAGAUUUCCAUAAAGAGGAACAUUUAUCUACACUCGCAUCAUAUAUAGAAGAUUAGGUUAUAAAAAAGCC